GACGAACGCUGGCGGCGUGCCUAAUACAUGCAAGUCGAACGCAGUGGGGACGGGUGAGUAACACGUGGGUAACCUCCCAUCAGAGGGGAUAACACUUGGAAACAGGUGCUAAACCGAUACUGAUGGAUGGACCCGCGGUGCAUUAGCUAGUUGGUGGAGUAACGGCUCACCAAGGCCACGAUGCAUAGGCGACCUGAGAGGGGGGUCAGCCACAGUGGGACUGGGACACGGCCCCAACUCCUACGGGAGGCAGGAGUAGGGAAGCUUCGGAAAAGGACGAAAGUCUGACCGAGCAACGCCGCGUGAGUGAAGAAGGUUUUCGGAUCGUAAAACUCUGUUAUUAGAGAAGCGGUAUCUAACCAGAAAGCCACGGCUAACUACGUGCCAGCAGCCGCGGUAAUUC
rnacentral:rRNA from 1 species